GGGAAAUGACAUGGCUAAAUGGUUCUUUAGGAAGAAGAGUCAGGCGCCUCUGGAAGGGAUGGUUUGGCCUACAGAGAGAAAACAGAGAGAAUGGGCAAGGGGUCAUCGAUGGACCGGAGAUGGGAUGGUAGGGACAGAAACUGCAGGGUCCGCAGAAGGAACUGCUCACCGAAAGCCAACAAGCUUGCCCUGUGGAAUCCCAGAAAGGCCCAGGAACUUCGGGACAUCACUGAAGGCAGAGUGAAGAGAGGAAGAGAAGACAGAGAAAUGGAGGGGAGAAAACUAUUAAAAUAAGUAAUAAGAAAACUUUCCCCAGAAGUGCAGAAUCUGAAUUUCCAGUAUAAAAGGGUCCAUUGAGCGCCAAGAACAAUGAAGGAAAAAAGGUCCCACUCAGGCCUACGUAUCAUUGUGAAAUUUCAGAACUAGAGGGAUAAAGAAAAGAUCCUAAAAGCUUCCCGAGAGAUAAAAAAGAAGAUUUUUACAAAGGAUCAGCAAUCAGAAUUGCCUCAGACUGCUCAAUAAAAACAUCAGAAGCUAGAAGAAAAUAGAAUGAGGCAUCAAAAUCCUGAGGGAAAUGAUUCCCACCUAUAAUUUCAUAUUCUGCUCAAUUAUCAAUUGAGUAUUGAAGGGAAAUAAAGACAUUUUUAGACAUGCA
rnacentral:lncRNA from 1 species